UACAGAGGUCUCAAGCGUUGUUCGGAAUUACUGGGCGUAAAGCGCGCGUAGGCGGACCUGCAAGUCGGGGGUGAAAGCCCGAGGCUCAACCUCGGAACUGCCUUCGAUACUGCGGGUCUCGAGUCCGGGAGAGGUGAGUGGAAUUCCUAGUGUAGAGGUGAAAUUCGUAGAUAUUAGGAAGAACACCAGUGGCGAAGGCGGCUCACUGGCCCGGUACUGACGCUGAGGCGCGAAAGCGUGGGGAGCGAACCGG
rnacentral:rRNA from 1 species